rnacentral:rRNA from 1 species
AUUGAACGCUGGCGGCAUGCCUUACACAUGCAAGUCGAACGGUAACAGGUCUUCGGAUGCUGACGAGUGGCGAACGGGUGAGUAAUACAUCGGAACGUGCCCGAUCGUGGGGGAUAACGAGGCGAAAGCUUUGCUAAUACCGCAUACGAUCUACGGAUGAAAGCGGGGGUUCUUCGGACCCCGCCCGGACGGAGCGGCCGAUGGCAGAUUAGGUAGUUGGUGGGAUAAAAGCUUACCAAGCCGACGAUCUGUAGCUGGUCUGAGAGGAUGAUCAGCCACACUGGGACUGAGACACGGCCCAGACUCCUACGGGAGGCAGCAGUGGGGAAUUUUGGACAAUGGGCGAAAGCCUGAUCCAGCCAUGCCGCGUGCAGGAUGAAGGCCUUCGGGUUGUAAACUGCUUUUGUACGGAACGAAAAGCCUCUUUCUAAUAAAGAGGGGUCAUGACGGUACCGUAAGAAUAAGCACCGGCUAACUACGUG